UACACUCCUGCGGGAGGCAGCAGUGGGGAAUUUUGGACAAUGGGCGAAAGCCUGAUCCAGCAAUGCCGCGUGUGUGAAGAAGGCCUUCGGGUUGUAAAGCACUUUUGUCCGGAAAGAAAUCCUUGGCUCUAAUACAGUCGGGGGAUGACGGUACCGGAAGAAUAAGCACCGGCUAACUACGUGCCAGCAGCCGCGGUAAUACGUAGGGUGCGAGCGUUAAUCGGAAUUACUGGGCGUAAAGCGUGCGCAGGCGGUUUGCUAAGACCGAUGUGAAAUCCCCGGGCUCAACCUGGGAACUGCAUUGGUGACUGGCAGGCUAGAGUAUGGCAGAGGGGGGUAGAAUUCCACGUGUAGCAGUGAAAUGCGUAGAGAUGUGGAGGAAUACCGAUGGCGAAGGCAGCCCCCUGGGCCAAUACUGACGCUCAUGCACGAAAGCGUGGGGAGCAAACAGGAUUAGAAACCCCAGUAGUCCCAUGAU
rnacentral:rRNA from 1 species